rnacentral:rRNA from 1 species
AUUGAACGCUGGCGGCAGGCUUAACACAUGCAAGUCGAGCGGAGAUGAGGUGCUUGCACCUUAUCUUAGCGGCGGACGGGUGAGUAAUGCUUAGGAAUCUGCCUAUUAGUGGGGGACAACAUUCCGAAAGGAAUGCUAAUACCGCAUACGUCCUACGGGAGAAAGCAGGGGAUCUUCGGACCUUGCGCUAAUAGAUGAGCCUAAGUCGGAUUAGCUAGUUGGUGGGGUAAAGGCCUACCAAGGCGACGAUCUGUAGCGGGUCUGAGAGGAUGAUCCGCCACACUUGGACUGAAACACGGCCCAGACUCCUACGGGAGGCAGCAGUGGGGAAUAUUGGACAAUGGGGGGAACCCUGAUCCAGCCAUGCCGCGUGUGUGAAGAAGGCCUUAUGGUUGUAAAGCACUGUAAGCGAGGAGGAGGCUACUGAGACUAAUACUCUUGGAUAGUGGACGUUACUCGCAGAAUAAGCACCGGCUAACUCUGUGCCAGCCGCCGCGGUAAGAC